CCUACGGGAGGCAGCAGUGAGGAAUAUUGGUCAAUGGACGAGAGUCUGAACCAGCCAAGUAGCGUGAAGGAUGACUGCCCUAUGGGUUGUAAACUUCUUUUAUAUAGGAAUAAAACGAGGCACGUAUACCUUUUUGCAUGUACUUUAUGAAUAAGGAUCGGCUAACUCCGUGCCAGCAGCCGCGGUAAUACGGAGGACCCGCGCGUUAUCCGGAUUUAUUGGGUUUAAAGGGAGCGUAGAUGGGUUGUUAAGUCAGUUGUGAAAGUUUGCGGCUCAACCGUAAAAUUGCAAUUGAUACUGGCAGUCGUGAGUACAGUUGAGGUAGGCGGAAUUCGUGGGGUAGCGGUGAAAUGCUUAGAUAUCACGAAGAACCCCGAUUGCGAAGGCAGCUCACUAAACUGUGACUGACAUUGAUGCUCGAAAGUGUGGGUAUCAAACAGGAUUAGAUACCCUUGUAGUC
rnacentral:rRNA from 1 species